CCUACGGGAGGCAGCAGUGGGGAAUAUUGCACAAUGGGGGGAACCCUGAUGCAGCAACGCCGCGUGGGUGAAGAAGUACUUCGGUUUGUAAAGCCCUGUCAGCAGGGAAGAAAAUGACGGUACCUGACCAAGAAGCCCCCGCUAACUACGUGCCAGCAGCCGCGGUAAUACGUAGGGGGCAAGCGUUAUCCGGAUUUACUGGGUGUAAAGGGAGCGUAGACGGCAAGGCAAGUCUGGAGUGAAAGCCCGUGGCUCAACCACGGGACUGCUUUGGAAACUGUGUUGCUGGAGUGCAGGAGGGGUAAGCGGAACUCCUAGUGUAGCGGUGAAAUGCGUAGAUAUUAGGAGGAACACCGGUGGCGAAGGCGGCUUACUGGACUGUAACUGACGUUGAGGCUCGAAGGCGUGGGGAGCAAACAGGAUUAGAUACCCGGGUAGUC
rnacentral:rRNA from 1 species